UAAAUUGAGGGCUGCUGUUGUUAUGGACUUCAGCAGGGGAUAAAUGCUAGUUCACUGUAGUUGAGCAGAUCCUUAUGUAAGACAGCCUUUAAGUACUUACCUUGGCUCUUAACUGAAUUUAUCAUUUUGCAAAGCACGUGCAAGAGGCCUGUACCAGAAAUCCUAAGUUAGAUAUAGGAUGCCAGUUGAAUGGAGAGUUUGCAAGCUGCUGUUCCUGUACCUAUUUGAAAUUAAAUUUCAAACUGCAGUGUCUACAUCAGCUUCAUCAUAAAGCUCCAGAUGUUGGGUUCAUCAUCUACAGAAGAGGUCAUGGUUAUACAAAUCAUUGUCAGUCUGUCUGGCAGCUUCACAAACCGUAUUGCAGAGAAGCCAGAAAUUAACCUGAACCACUGUCAACUUUACUCUGAAGAGAUCUAAGGAAGAAUUGUAGUCAACUGAAUUUCUCUUAAAAAGUGUGUCAUCUGUCAAGCAAUACAAAACCAUUACUGAUCUGACUGCGCUGAAAGUACAAAACUGAGUCUGAGGUUGAACAGCAUUUCAGAAUACUCUGCCAGUAGAGAAAAAGCCAAGGAAGGGGGUGACAGAGCAA